UACGUAGGUGGCAAGCGUUGUCCGGAAUUAUUGGGCGUAAAGAGCUCGUAGGCGGUGUGUCGCGUCGGCCGUGAAAACCUGCAGCUUAACUGUGGGCUUGCGGUCGAUACGGGCAUCACUGGAGUUCGGCAGGGGAGACUGGAAUUCCUGGUGUAGCGGUGAAAUGCGCAGAUAUCAGGAGGAACACCGGUGGCGAAGGCGGGUCUCUGGGCCGAUACUGACGCUGAGGAGCGAAAGCGUGGGGAGCGAACAGG
rnacentral:rRNA from 1 species